CGCUGGCGGUAUGCUUAACACAUGCAAGUCGAACGAACAAAACUGGAGCUUGCUUCAGUUUCUGUUAGUGGCAAACGGGUGAGUAACACGUGGGAAUCUACCCAUCAGUAUGGAAUAACAUUUGGAAACAAAUGCUAAUACCAUAUAUCCUCUAAGGAGGAAAGAUUUAUCGCUGAUGGAUGAGCCCGCGUAAGAUUAGGUAGUUGGUAGGGUAAUGGCCUACCAAGCC
rnacentral:rRNA from 1 species